GACGAACGCUGGCGGCGUGCUUAACACAUGCAAGUCGAACGGAAAGGCCCUGCUCUUGUGGGGUGCUCGAGUGGCGAACGGGUGUGUAACACGUGAGUAACCUGCCCUUUACUUUGGGAUAACUUCAGGAAACUGGGGCUAAUACAGGAUACGUGCUCCUGCUGCCUGGUGGGGGUUGGAAAGUUUCGGCGGUUGGGGAUGGACUCGCGGCUUAUCAGCUUGUUGGUGGGGUAGUGGCUUACCAGGGCUUCGAUGGGUAGCCUGCAUGAGCGGGUGACCGGUCACAAUGGGACUGAGGGACGGCCCAGACGCCAACGGGAGGCAGCAGGGGGGAAUAUUGCACAAUGGGCGGAAGCGUGAUGCAGCAACGCCGCGUGCGUGAUGACGGUCUGCUGGUUGUAAACCGCUUUCGCCUGAGACGAAGCGUGAAUGACGGUAAUGGAUAAAGAAGCACCGGCUAACUACGUG
rnacentral:rRNA from 1 species